AAAAAAGGGGAAAAGUGAAGUUGUUCAAUUUACAAAUAUUAAGCUUGUAUAAAUAACAUGAAAUAUUUCUGUUUCCCUUCAAAACAUAUGCCAAUCUUGAAGAUCACACUUAAUUUUCAGCGGUGUUACAUCUACAUAUCUAAAUCAUGUUAAUACCAAAUGAAAUAGUUAUGGUUUUCCUCCGCCCCCUUGGAGCAGUGGAAGGAAACCCCAUCUAUCGAGAAACUUUCAAGGAGGGAAUAUUUUGGGGUCUGCCAUUUCACCACUGAUGCUGCAAGCACCAACGAGUCAUCUGCUUAAGGUAAAUUUAAUUCACUCUAAUAAAUUAUCGUUAGGAAGUGGGAGACAUCACUUCAGAAUCGUUGUUUUCACUAAGCAGGACGUUUUAAUCUGCUAUUAACAUCGAGCAAGUCAAAGUUAAUGCUAGCGUUAGCUACCGCAAGCUAGUGCUAUGCUAAUGCCUGGAACAGAACUGUAUAUGCUUUCUCACGAUAUUCAUUGAAAUGUGUGCACACCGUGUUUUUGUGUAGUGUGAAAUGUGCAGUAUAUCAAUUACUUUUUGUCAUUUAUAAUGGGAGUUUGACAUAUAGUAAAAGUGAAUCUGUGGUGUUUGCUGUUAAAUAAGCCCCACGCACAGACAUUGUAUGUACAGAAGACUUUUUGCACGUCCAUGCAUCCGAGAAAGUUUCAAAAAUUCAGAGCUUGGACCUGACGCGCCCGGCCCGACACAGUAUAUGACGUCAUUUUUGUCACGCGCCCGGCACAUUGCAGCCUGUGGGCUAUAAACCGAGUAGCAUCCAGCUGCAGCCCCGGAGACUAUUGUGUAAACCGGUCGGCCGCGGUGUUCGGCGUGGUGGUGUCCGGAAUGAAGGUGAGCUGGUCGAGGGGAACAGGUAACGGCGGUCGGCGUCAGGUCCCCGUUCACGCGUCGCUGCUGUCGAGUCGCCUCAGGUAGCGUCUAGCAACUAACUUAGAACUGGUGUGGACUAGUGGAAUCCGACUGUUUAAUUAAAACAAAGCAUCGCCAGUGCUCUGAAAGUCAAAGUGGAGAAAUGAAGCGUGGGUGUCAGGUAAACGGUGUGAGUAACUAUGAUAGAAUGAUAAAUGUAAUAUAAUAUAGAGUUUGAACAGUUAUCGCACUACCUCUGUUAACCCCUGGUAACAUGUUUAUCCUUAAGAUGGUUUGGGUCAAAUUGACCAGAGGUGUCUAUGUGGUUUUAAAAACAGUAUAAUUCUGUUAACCCAAUAACCAUAAACAUUUAUCUGUGAGCCAAUUAACACAUAGUAAAGAUUCAUAUUUGUUCUGAAGUUUGCAUGUGAAUUCUCAUAAUUGCCUCUCCUAUGUACUCCAGACUCCUUUCCUUCCAGUGUCCGCCAGAUUAUAAGUGAGGACACUGAGGUUGUAAGAGAACUAAUCAUAAAGGGACUGUGCGUAUAUCUUCACGAGGACCCAGCACACCUGUUCAUGGAAUAUGAGAGUGAAGACCAUGCUGCAAUCCAGGACGGAAUCGGGGACACCACGGUGGGAAUUUUCCUCAUAAGGCAAAAUGGCGGUAGUGAGGUAGAGGACAUCCUUGUGGUCCUUGAAGGCCAGGCCAUAUUGGUCGACCUACCAAGUGUUGGAGUGGCGGUUGCCAUGCCUUAAACCUGGACUACCCUCCUCAACUCAGAUACACCUUUGAGGUGGUACAGAAAGUUGUAAUGGAGUUGGAAGGCAAAGUGCUGUCAAAAAGGGCUCAGGCCCUGAAAAUCCAACUCUUUGAAUACAGAUGGUAUCUUAGAAAAUGUCAUAGUUUUCUGUUUUGCAAGUUUUGUUAUAUAUGUUUAUGAGAGCGCCUAAGUCUCUCGCGUUGCCUUAGUUUUGUCUUUUUUUUAAAGAGCAGCAUACAGAGAUUGCCUGGGACUGUAAUAAUAACCUUGUAAAGUCGGGUUCCUUUGUUUUCCUCUUUUUUUGAGAGUGGGUUUAUGUG